AUCUUUGCGUUUGGGGCAAUGACGCAGCUAGUGAGGUAUUACCGAGGCGCGUCAAUUGCUGGUUAAAAACUAUUUCCAAACCCCCUCUGCGGCCCACGGCAGCAGGGAACUUCUGGAAGGGCCCCGUCC
rnacentral:snRNA from 1 species